rnacentral:lncRNA from 1 species
UGCUGCAAAAUGACGUUAAUGGGUUUUAUUUUCAAACUUUUUUAUCAAAAGGGGUCUCUUUUCAAACAUAGUCCGGGGUGGGUCUUUUAUUUUUGGGGUUUCGCUAUUAAGUUGGCGAAACAUGCAUAUCGCCAAGCAUUCACGCGCAUGUGGAUUUCGUCACCACCAUUGGCGAAACCCACUGUGCAUGCACCAUUUAUCUCACGCACCAUUUAUCCCACACACCAACUGGCGAAAUAGGCAUGGUUGAUUUUUUAUUUUAAUGGAAAAAAUU